AGUGAACGCUGGCGGUAGGCCUAACACAUGCAAGUCGAACGGCAGCACAGUAAGAGCUUGCUCUUACGGGUGGCGAGUGGCGGACGGGUGAGGAAUACAUCGGAAUCUACUUUUUCGUGGGGGAUAACGUAGGGAAACUUACGCGAAUACCGCAUACGACCUACGGGUGAAAGCAGGGGAUCUUCGGACCUUUCGCGAGUGAAUGAGCCGAUGUCGGAUUAGCUAGUUGGCGGGGUAAAGGCCCACCAAGGCGACGAUCCGUAGAUGGUCUGAGAGGGUGGUCCGCCACACUGGCACUGAGAAACGGUCCAGACUCUUACGGGAGGCAGCAGUGGGGAAUAUUGGGCAAUGGGGGCAAGCCGGAUCCAGCACUACGGGGUAGGUGAAGAAGCAGUUCGGGUUGUAAAGCCCUUUUGUUGGGAAAGAAAAGCAGCAGGUUAAUACGCCGCUGUUCUGACGGUACCCGAAGAAUAAGCACCGGCUAACUUCGUG
rnacentral:rRNA from 1 species